rnacentral:rRNA from 1 species
CACGUAGGGCGCAAGCGUUGUCCGGAAUUAUUGGGCGUAAAGAGCUCGUAGGCGGACUGUCACGUCUGCUGUGAAAAGCUGGGGCUUAACCCUGGCCUUGCAGUGGAUACGGGCAGACUAGAGGUAGGUAAGGGAGAAUGGAAUUCCCGGUGUAGCGGUGAAAUGCGCAGAUAUCGGGAGGAACACCGGUGGCGAAGGCGGUUCUCUGGGCCUUACCUGACGCUGAGGAGCGAAAGCGUGGGGAGCGAACAGG